rnacentral:rRNA from 1 species
UUUGAGGUCUGACCUGCCCAAUGAAUUUUAAAUGGCCGCAGUAUUUUGACUGUGCAAAGGUAGCAUAAUCAUUAGUUUUUUAAUUGAAAGCUGGUAUGAACGGUUUGAUGAGAAAAGGACUGUCUCAAUAUUAUUGUUUUAGAAUUUUAUUUCUGAGUCAAAAAGCUUAGAUUUUUUAAAAAGACGAGAAGACCCUAUAGAGUUUUAUAUUACUGCUUUAGAUCUUUUUUUGGAGUUUUCAAGGGUUUUUAGUUUUAAUGUUUCGUUGGGGUGACGUAAAAAUUUGGUUAACUUUUUAUAGUAAGAACAUAAAUUAAUGGGUAAAUGAUCCUGAUUUAGGAUUUAUAGAUAAAAUUACCUUAGGGAUAACAGCGUAAUUUUUCUUGAGAGUUCUUAUCGAAAGAGAAGAUUGCGACCUCGAUGUUGGAUUAAAAUUUAUUUUUGGUGUAGAGGCUGAAAUAUUGGGUCUGUUCGACCUUUAAAAUUUUACAUGAUCUGAGUUUAGACCGGCGUGAGCCAGGUUGGUUUCUAUCUUUUAUAAGAAAGAAUAUUUUAGUACGAAAGGACCAGAUAUUCAGAUUAUAUCUUUUUUUUGAAUAAAAUUGUUAUUUUGGCAGAUUAGUGCUAUAGAUUUAGAAUCUAUCUAUGUAAUGGUAUUACAUAUAACAUUGUUUUUAAGGGACUUUAUUUUGAUUUUGGUUUCAAGUGUUAUUUUGAUUGUUUGUGUUCUGGUAGGCGUUGCCUUUUUA